GUGCCAGCCGCCGCGGUAAGACGAACCAUGCAAACGUUAUUCGGAUUCACUGGGCUUAAAGCGUGCGUAGGCGGUCUUGUUAGUCAGGUGUGAAAGCCCUCAGCCUAACUGAGGAAUUGCGCUUGAUACUGCAUGACUAGAGAAUGAUAGAGGUGGGUGGAACUGAUGGUGGAGCGGUGAAAUGCGUUGAUAUCAUCAGGAACACCAGUGGCGAAGGCGACCCACUGGGUCAUUUCUGACGCUGAGGUACGAAAGCUAGGGUAGCGAACGGGAUUAGAAACCCCGGUAGUCC
rnacentral:rRNA from 1 species